AGAGCGAACGCUGGCGGCAGGCCUAACACAUGCAAGUCGAGCGCCCGUAGCAAUACGGGAGCGGCAGACGGGAUAGUAACACGUGGGAACGCGCCCUUCGGUUCGGAAUAACUCAGGGAAACUUGAGCUAAUACCGGAUACGCCCUUACGGGGAAAGAUUUAUUGCCGAAGGAACGGCCCGCGUCCGAUUAGCUAGUUGGUGAGGUAAUGGCUCACCAAGGCGACGAUCGGUAGCUGGUCUGAGAGGAUGACCAGCAUCACUGGGACUGAGACACGGCCCAGACUCCUACGGGAGGCAGCAGUGGGGAAUAUUGGACAAUGGGCGCAAGCCUGAUCCAGCCAUGCCGCGUGGAUGAUGAAGGCCUUAGGGUUGUAAGUCCGUUUUAAGGGGAAGAGUAAUGACGGUACCGUAGAAUAAGCCCGGCUAACUUCGUGCCAGCAGCCGC
rnacentral:rRNA from 1 species